AUGGCUUCAGUCGGAUGACUCUUGAGGUCGAUCCUGUAUUUUAACCCCUUGGUUGCCUCUUCUUCAGACCCCUCAUUCGCUCCUCUCCAGCAACAUGCUCGCUGUAUCCGUUACCUGCUGGUGUUGCCGGAUGUAUUCCCCAAGUAGCAAGAAGCGCAGAGAUUCCAACAUAAGUUCAUGAAGAAAGGCUUGGGCGCCCUGUGCCGUUGAAUCUUUCUCUGGAUCUAUCUCUUGUGCCAUCAAAUUCAUAGGUGAUUGUCCCUUCAUUUUACCCCACAGUUCAUUGCUAAUGUGUGUUUUGAACAACGUUGUUUGCUAAUGUUAGUGUUUGCCUCCGGAAAAGUUACUAUCUCAUAUUCCCUACCAACACUGCUAACACGUUACAAGAUUUUUUUUGACUAUUUCUACGUACAGCUUCUUCAUUUCUUGCCGACUGAACGAGCAACACUUUAGUUGUAACGACCGACUGACAGCACGGAUAUUGUUCUGCUUCAGUUAAAUUAGUUUGCUCCAGCAAGCACCUAGCGUUUCACCGAUGGAAAAUCUAAAUCGCUUGCGGCCUGGACCAAAAUCUACAAGCCAAACUUUCAGUCCAAGAAUGAUUUUCUCCUUAUUAAACCCGUCUAUGAAUUUUAUAUAACAAGCUUUUGCCUGGCUGCUCUUCAACAACAGACAUGCUUCAGCUGUCCACAAUCAGGUCACCGAGGAGACUCACUGCGUGCUUUGUGAUUGAGAAGAACCUGAGAUGCAUGUCGCAUGACAAUAUGUACUGGAAUUGCACCUUCGGUACUUAAUCUUGGGACUGCCAUGGGCAUCUGGGCUCGCUCUUGAUGUUAGCAUAGAUAUACUUAUCACCUUACUAGAGAGGCCAAGUAUCAAAUUGUUCUCCUUUGACAAGGAAAGAAUUUUGAA